GGGGUGGUGACGAUGUCAUGGAAACAGCCGUGAUGGAAGCAGACUAGUCAACAGAGGAGCAGAGCAUACCCAAAGAAUAGGGCAUUUCCUCCAAGCAGGAUGUUCAAGUCAACUGCAUUGUUUCAAGGACUCUCAGCUCCUCAACAGAUGUCAUCUCUCCCUGUGGGCGGGCGAGCAACAUUGUGGCUCUGUGGGUCUUCCUCCCCGGCCGUGACGGGAAGCAGUCCUCCACGGACCUUAGCUGCGAUCACAGUGCCCAGAACUCAGCCGGAAGACCUUACCUGACAGCAGGAAGAGGCCUGGAGGAAGACAAGGUGGAGAGUACCGACCAGGAGGAGCAGCCCUGAGGAAACGCCCAGACUAGGGAUCAAGGGUUAAAAAUCCAACCAAAGAGGGACACUAACCCUGCUAUGAAAGCUAGAAUACGACAUAGCUGUUAAAAGCAGACUGCAGAACUACUGGUGGAAUGAACAUACCAAAUACAAUUAAAUUAUAAAGGAGGAGAACUGUGGGACUGUAUGAUUCAAAAUUCAUUUAUUCCCCUAGCCUCUGUUAUGUUUAAAAUUUAAUGGUUAGAAUGUGCUUGUUAGUCUUGAAAUAGUAGAUAAAAUCUGUAACAAAGCAAAGUUCCUGAGUAAAUCAUUCAACCCCUUGUUUGUCCAGAGAACGAAAAUUCCCGGACCCACUAUCGGUAGAACAAUCCAUCACUGAGUCUGCUGAUCAUCAGUACGUGACAGUCGUGACCAUAUGGUCGUGACCAUUACUGUGUGUCUGCUGACCGUUAGUACGUGACAGUCGACCACCAACCUUUGUUCCUUUUUUUCCGUAAAUCUACAUGUUAACCUCCCCCUCAACCCCCUAUAAAAACAGCCUCGGACUCUGAGCCAGUUGCCUCUCUUAGCUACUUUGCUUUGGGAGUGCCGUCUGGCCAGACUAAUAAAGGUCUGUUUUACUUUCCAACUUGUCCGGUGUGUUCCUUCCCGGGUGAUCGUCGCUGCAGUCAGCUCCUCGGAGCGUUUGGUAAGGCCCUCGGUCUUACAGAACCAGAAACAGAAUGAGAUGAGAAGAAUCUGGAAUCUAACUCCAGAAGGAGAGGCAAGCAAUGUAGAGCCCGAUAACGUUUUGCUGGCGAUCUACUUUUAGAAGGAGCUACCCGAUAAGAGUAGGUGGAUUACAGGCCCGGCUACAUCCCACGAGUGAUUUCCAGGAUGACGCCAAGGUCUCCAGCAGCUUCACCUGGGCGGGCUCGCUCCUCCGUGCUUCCGGGAGUCCUGGGGCUUUUCUGUGGACAGUUCCCCUAGUGUGCAGGAGGGAGGCACGGGAGACCCUGCAGAGGC
rnacentral:lncRNA from 1 species